GAAAAAAAUAAUUUCAGAACCAUUCAUUAAUUCAACAAACAUUUAUUGAGCACCUACCACAUACCAGAAUUUUGAAAUCGGUAUUGCUUUUGGGGAUUUAUUUUUGUAGUUUGGAUUUCAAUUUGAGUUUGAAUUCUAGGUUUGCAGCCUAUCUAGCUGUGGGAGAAUGAACAAGUCCUUUAACAUCUGUAUCUCAGUUUUUCUGCCUAUAAAAUGGGAAUAAUAAUUGCACCUAAUAACGUUGCUGUAAAAUUUAAUAAUAUAAUCACACAAAACGCUUACAAAAAAAAGAAGUUUCUGCUUGUGAAGGGCACUUCAAAUGAGGUCUCCCAUAUCCCUUUACGGAUAUGUGUCUCUUCUCCUUUGCCAUUAGGAGUAGUUACGUGGGCCAGUUUGGGAACUCUGUGUGCCAAGAAUUAUGCUAGAUGAUGAGGAUACAGAGAUGACUAAAACACAGGCCCUGAUCUCCAGGAUCUUAUAAUGAGGGAAAGAAAACAUUCCCAAGUAGACACUGAAUUCCUGGAGGAUAGGGAACCAUCCCCUAAUUGUCAUUGAGUAAAUUAAACACACAGCUUUCUCUUCCUAUAAUGAUCAGUUAACAAACAUUGCCUGAGCUCCUUGCCCUGUGGGCAAGGCUGUGCUGGCAAGGCUGUGCUGGGUGCUGGUAAUACAGCAAUAAAUCAGUCACAUGCCAAUCCCUCAGGUGGACCUUCUGGUACGGGAAAAAUCAAUGGAGCAGAGACUCACUAGACCCUGAGGGCACUGCACUCAGCUGAGAAGCACUAGAAGCAAAGAUUUGCAGAGGAAGUGAGUUCCAAAUGGGGUGACAUUUAAGACAGAAUCACCCUGCUUUGGGAAAUAUAUCACUUCAACAACAACAAAAAGCAGUGUUACCAACUAUGAAAUGAAAGGAGAUGCCCUUUUGUUUUGUUUCACUGAAGUGAGUUUUUAAAUUAUACUUUUGUAUGUAAAAAAAUUUCUUCAUGGAACCUGUGACAAAACCAUGACAAAUAGCCCCAGACUAAAUUUAAAUUCAUUGGGAUGGCAGUGGCUCCGAGGGUUUCUAUGUUCUCUGUCUUUAAAUUUUUUUGAUUGUCAUAAAAAAUACAUAACAUAAAAUUUGCCAUCUUAACCAAAGAGGGUGGUAGGAAACUGAUUUUGUGAUGCAUAUCUAAACACACACCUGGAAGAUAUUAAUGUAUCGAGACUGAAGGAGCCCGAGAGAGCAAUUUUUUGUGGGAAAAAUUGAUGUACUAUGCAACUUCUUCUACCACUAAAAUGGAGGAAGAGAGAAGGUUCUAUCAUUCACCUUAAGCCAAGUAUGAAAGGGUGCUUUAGUAAAACCACUAAGAGAGCUUGGCAUGUGAACCUGGAGUUUGAGGGGGCUGCAUAAAUUCUGGCAAGAGAAACUGGCUGUGUUGAACUAGAGUGGAAGAUUAUAGAGAGAAAAAGCUACAUACAGAGUAAAUUGCUUCUCACUGACAAGAGGGCAAGAAUGUGUAUUGUCUGUGACCAAAUUUGAAACACAUGUGAAGGUGAUUGCUUGGCGCCAUUUUGAAUUUUGCCCAAGCAUAAUUGAAUUUACCUGGGUUCAUGGUAGGUCCCAGUGGAGAGUCUGUGGGCUGGAAUAGUCCAAUGCCCAGGAACUGAGGGUAGAAACUGUAAGUUGACAGCCAGAGAAAAUGCAUCAUGCAAAAACAAGUUGAAAGGCCUCAGCAGUUAUCUCUGAGGAACCUAUGUAUUUGCCUCAUAAGAUGAAGAAUUCAUCACAUCCAUAAUGCACCAAGAUCAGCUAGCGUCUUUUACCAGUUGUGAUGGUUAAUUUUAUGUGUCAAUUUGACUGGGCCCAUACAUUUGGUCAUACAUGAUUCUAGGUGUAUCUGUGAGAGUGUUUUGGAUGAGAUUAAUAUUGGAAUCCCUAGAUGGAAUAAAGAAGAUGGCCCUCCCUAACGUGGGUGAGUCCCAUCCAAUCAGUUGAACACCUGAAUAAAAUAAAAAUACUAACCCUCCUGUGAGUAAGAGGGAAUUCGUCCUGCCUGAUUGCCUUCAAAUGGGGACAUUAAUUUUUUCCUGUCUUCAGACUUGAACUGAAGCAUCAGCUCUUCCUUGUCUUGGGCCUACUGGCCUUCAGACUGGAAAUACAUCAUCAGCUCUCCUGGGUAUCCUGCAGAUCUUGAGACUUGUCAUACUCCAUAAUUAGAUGAGUAGCCUAAAGCUCAAAGUGAAAACUUUCCCAAGAUCACACACCUAGCAAGUGUUGGAGUUCAGCUGCUAUGCAAACUGAGAAGGACCAAAGGUAUUCUUAGAUAAAGUAAGUAGUAGUAUUUACAGCACUUUUGAAUCUGGGAGAAAGUGAAGUACAGACAGAUUAGUAAACAAAGAACUGUGAAUCCUUAGAUGGCUCCACCAACUAAUCAAUUCGAGUCGAUUAUUGCCUUCCCAGUUCUGAAUUAGGAUGCUUGCUUGCAGUGUGACUUAUUUAGUCAGCAUUAUUUUACGACUCUACAAUUUUCUCUCUUUAUCUGAAAUGAUCCAGCCUAAAACUCCCUGAAAAUGCCGGGCAUUAAGUAUAUCACAAUGGUAAUUCUUUUGACUGAAGCCUUAUUUGAUUCAGUGGAAAAUGACUUCAGUGUAUUGGAUUUACAGUUCAUUUAAUGAGUGUUGUAGAGGUCAAUACAUUAGUGUAAACUUGGUUCAGGUAGUAAUUUGGUUUCUAAUGAGGUUCCCAAGCAGCAUCCUACUAUGAAAAGUAGGAUAGUGCUCAGUGGGCAUAGAAUAUAACUGUCUAAUCAGACAUAAGAAAUGUGCCAGUUGUAUACUACAAUAAUGCUAUGAUUGUUUGACUUCUUUAGGAUUCAGUUUCCAUUUCUGUAAGAUGAGCAGGUUAAACAAAGGCCCUUGAAGCUCUGAACUGUUUUGUAUUUUCUCGGUAAUCUUAAGAAAUCUCCCAUCUUUAGGACAUGUGCUUUGUAAUGGAGAUGGAUUUGCAUGAGCCAUUUGUGCUGUGAUAUGCACUCCAUACCAAAACCAUGGCUCCACAAAACCUUGUCUGACAAUUGAGUUGUGUUUCUGAAUGUCUUGCAAGCAAGACAAUGACUGCUUGUUGUUCUGGACUAUUUUCUUUAGGAUGUUUAUAUAGGGAAAAGCUUGGCAAUAUGGAGAUAAUGUCUAUGGAACAAAGGGAAGGCAUGCUUACUGCCUAUUAUGAAUGAUUCUAUAAGCUCAAGUUCUCUAAGUUCAGGGUGCCUCUCCUGUAAUGCAACCCACUUCAUGCACAGAUGACAUUUGGUCCUCCUCACAUUGCCCUGUUGGAAUCUGCACUCCAAAACCAAUGCAAAAAUGACGAUACUCUGGCCACUGCUGUUGCUGUGAGUGAUAAAUUUUCUUUCAUCUGUCAUCUAGGAGUCUCGUAUUUACUACUGGUAUCCAUGAAACUGUAGUAGGCCAACUUGCUAGUUUGAAAGUAGAGUAAAAUCUCAGACCCUUCAAGGUCCUUGACAACCCUAGUCCACAGUCACUUUCCUCUUUUAUUACCACUAUAGCACCUAGCCUCUGAACAAUCCAACUCAAAACACAUUAUGUCUUUUGUUGAAUUGUUUUACAUGUUAAUUUUAUCUCCCAACUAGAUCAUAAGCAUGCGAGAGAGGCACCAUGCCAAUGUUUUUUCUGUCUACCCUGUAGCAGCUGGCACAGGCAUGGGUACAUAGUACGGGCUCAAUAUAUAUUUUUGAUUUACUUUGGUUAUAUGCAUACCAGCUGAAGUAAAAUACUCCAUGCUUUUUAUCAUUGAACUUGCCUUGGAUGUCUUCUUAUAGUUGAAAACAAUAGAUGUACUCUCCUAGAAAUAGAAAAGCUCUAAUGAGAGAUGAAGAAACCAUUUUUCAGGCUUCUAGGAUGCAAGGCAUAUACAUUCUUUAAUCAGUUGGACAUCAUUGACUAAGGGGCCAAUUACAAAGCUAUUCUGAGUCCCACAUUUCCCAAGAUGUUUGUUGUGCUGGGCUGCUAAUAAUUAUCAUGUUUUGGCAGCUGAAGAACUAGAAUAUAGUCUCUGUUUUUGUAGAAAUCAAUGGCCCCAGGAGGUUAUCUAUACCAGCCUACUGUCUGCAACAUCAGUGGGAGCUUAUUUGGCAUUUGAUACCAAUCCCAGAAGAGGAUAUGAAUCCCUGAGUGCAUUUCCCAAUGGCACACGCUCGCUUCUUGUUUUCUUGUAAGUAUCCUAUUAUUAAUGGCCCAUUAUACCAGAAACAAAAAUGUCUAUAUACGCAUUUUCAUUUAGUCUGUCAUUGUUUCCAAUGGUCUGGAUUAUUCGAUUAGUCUCAAUCCAGUUUUCUUUGAGGGAAUAUGGAGACACAAGAGUUGUCUGUCUUUAGUGCUAAAACAUUAAAACUUAGGGCUCUUUCUUAUGGCUAUAGCCUUGAAGAUGCACUCCUUAGCUCCAUAACAUUGUGUUCUUUUCUUUUCUUUUCUUUCCCUUUUCUUUUCUUCUUUUCUUUUCUUUCUUUUCUUUUCUUUUGUUUUCUUUUUUUCUUUCUUGUUGUCAGGACUGCAACACACUCUCAAUUCAGUCUUCCUGAGUGCAACUGAUACAAUUUUACAGAUGUGGCAUGGUCAUCAUUUUCUAACUUUAGCUUUGCUAAUCUGGCAUUUUCUAACUUUAGUUUUGUUAAUUCAGGCUGUUCCUUCUCACUUAAAAAUAUUUCCUCUUAUUUGAAUUUGAGUAUGCUGCCACCAAGUGGUUGCCCGUUCUUUGAUUAACAUGGUCUCAUAAUUCAAACUGCAGGCUGCACUGUUUCUAUUGCUGUUGUUGGUGUAUGUGUCAGGAUUGGGAUAGUGAAUGCCUAUUAAUAGUUGAAGGUAUCAGGUAUUAGAGGGAAUUAGGGCAAAUCUUCAUGAAACAGCAGGAAGAUAUUGAAAAAUAAAAAUGGGCUGUAACUUGAGGAGGGGAGAGGAAGGGCAGUAUGUGUCCAAAGAAUGAGAUCAGGAUUAGAGGAGAUGUGGAGUAGAGGGAACAGAGAAAUAAUAGGAAAAAGGGAAAAUGACCCAGAUUUAAGAGAACUUGAUCGCUGAAACAAUUUUCAUCUUUUGUUUCUGUACUUCCUAUGGUUCUUGUACUUAUUAGGGACUACAAAUACCAAGAUAGAUGCAUUAUCUUGAGCAGGAUUCUGUCUUGUAUAUAUUUGUAUCCCUCACAGUGUCUAAUGUAGUGCUGGGCACAUAGUUGGUUCUUAAUAAAGGUCUGCAUGAAUGACCCAAACCUGCAAGAGUUGAGACAAUAUAUAGUGUAGGCAAGGGGUGCUGGCUUGAGGCACAGGGGCAGCUCCUAAUGAGCAAGCCUUGACAGUGUCUUGCCUCUAUCAAGCUGAUGCCUUGCACAACUUUAGCUGGCUCCUAUGAUCAAUCUUCCAAAUUAGAACCUUCUCCAAAUCUUCUCAGGAAGGUACUUACAUGCCCCCUCCUUCCUCCUCCACUACCUUCUCCAUUCUUUCCUCUUCUCCCUCCUCCUCUCCUUCCUCUACUCCCUCCUUUUCUUCCUCCUCUUCCUCUUUCUCCCCUUCCAAGGCUCUUGAUGUCUUCAUACCUCUGAACAAGUCUGGGUGGUUGGAAACAGAUGACCUCUGGAAGCUUUUGAUUGGAGGAUGAGAGAUCUAGAGUUCUUUCCAUUCGUAAGAUGUAUAGGGAAUGACUGUAUAGGGCUUUCAAAAAAUGCAUAUGAAAAUUGGGGAUUGUUCUAUGUAAGAUGUUUGCUGAAAUUAAUACCUUAGACACAGUCUCCAGAAAGGGGUUUACUCCUGCAUGAUAACAUGCAUGCUAUGUUAUCUUUGGCCUUGGCUAGUAUAUGUUCACAUGACUACUUUUUUCAAGAUACACACUCCCAGAUCUCAAUCUUUACCCAAAUAUUAUAAUUCAUGAAUAUCUGGUGAAAGUGUCCUGUGUGCACUUCCCCUAAUGCAGAAAUGAAAUCCUUGAAGACGAUUGUUUUAGUAAGCAAGUAUGACCUUAGUCACUUGUUUACUUGCUUUAGUAAGACCUGUUUGGCACCAUAAACAUCCACAUAUCUAACACAGAAUUUCCCAGGGAGGUUCCACGUGGAGCAGUAUAGCAUGGUGGAUAAGUGUGAGGGCUUGGGACUACUGACUGCUCAAAUUUUACCUCUGUUGUUUGAUGUUGGGCAAGUCAAUUAAUCUCUCUCUGUGCUUCAGUUUACUAACCUGUAAAAAAGGCUAAUAUAAAUUACCUUACAUGGCUGUUAUGAAGGUUAGGUUAAAUGACAAAACACAUGUAGUGUGCUUAAGCACAGUGCUUAGCAUAUAAUAAGUAUACAAUUAUUGGUAGUUAUUAUAUAAAUUUCUUCCUUGAACAUAAACUUUGGGAAGUGAUGGCCCUGGAUAGUGUCUCUCUUACUAUCAUGUCCUUGUGCUCAGCUUCUGAGGCUUAUGAAGAUGCCCUGGGCACAGAGACUCAGGCUGUCUCCUGGCCCACAGAGUGCGGAACAAGUGGGAGCUUGUAAGCUAAGUAGGAUGUCAUUUUGAGUCACUGCUGCUCUAAUCUCUUUAGACAGUUCUGAAGAACAAUUGGAUUCCCUUCAGUUUUAAUUUCCCUACCUUCUCAGAUAAAUUUUCCAAAUGUCCACUUCCCAUUUCUUCGAUCAAAGCCAGAGUUGAAGGAAGCUGGCCUUCAAUCUCCAACCAGGCUGAGAGCACCAUUUGAGCUCAAGAGCAAAUUGUAUUGGAAAAGAAGCAGAACCACUGACUAAAAUGAAUUGUCAUUAAAUGAGGCUUUAAAUGAAACCACAAGGCAGAGCCUCAUCCUAAUUGGCAGUGGAGUUAAUCGGGUAAGAGGCCAAUUCCAGAUGUCCCAUUGCAGAACUUUUAAAACUCGCUCCCUGCUUCUUUUACUUUCUGCCCCUAACCACCUCUUUCCACCCUCACACCGCCUUUGAAAGAUGAUGAUCAUUGGGCAAAGAUAACACUGAACUAUUUAACAUCUUUUUAAAAUCUAUAAUCUAUAAAUUGAAUGCAGGAAUAGAAAAUGUCAGAACCAUGAUACAAUUUGAAAUGUUUCAUGUGGUAGGGUGGAUAAUGGUACCCCAAAUAUGUCCAUGUUCUAAUCCGUAGACUGAAUAUGUUACUUUACAUGCAAAAUAAACUUUGCCUAUGUGAAUAAGGUAAGAAUCUUGGUACAGAAGGAUUAUCCCAGAUUAUCCAGGUAGGCUCAGUGUAAUCACAAGGGUCCUAAUGAGAGAGAUGAGGAAAGAGUCAGAGGCAGAGGAGCAGAUAUGAUGACAGAAGCAGAGAUUGGAGUGACGACAUAGAAGGUGGAGGAAGGGGCCAAAAGCCGAGGAAUACAGGCAGGCACAGGAAGCCACUUGUCAGCUGAAAGAGACAAGUAAAUGGAUUUUCCCUUCCAAGCCUCCAGAAGGAACUAGCCCUGCCUGCACCACAACUUUAACCCAGUGAGACCCAUUUCAGACUACUGACCUCCAGAACCAUAAGAAAAUAAAUCUGUGUUGUUUUAAGCCAACUGUCUCCCAAAUACUCCCAGAUAUGCUGUAGAGCUGGAAAUUUCCCAAAUUAGAAGUAUUGCUUUGGAUGAUAUCAAUGAAGGACACAAUUGUUAAAAAGCUUCCACUGAAAUGCAAAGGGAAAUGUGUUAGGCAACAUUCAACCUGUUAUGCCUUGAUCUGACUGGCUGGCAGAGAGCACGGAAGAGGACCCAAGAUGCAGGGAUUUCUGGGCCUUGGGGCAUGAAAUUGAUGGGUGGGAUCUGUGUGGCUGGAUGCAGCAAGUGAUGCCUGGGAUGAGAGGAUGCCACAAGGGAGAGAGCCUGAAAACAAAAUCCCAUUUAUCACACUUCUUCUUGAGUUUUCACCCAGUGAAAAACUCAAUGCUUCGGAUGUGAGCAUCACCUUUGUCACUAAUCCAGCUUCAAACCUGUUCCAUAAAGCUCCUGGUAAGCUUAAAGAAAGAAAUAGCUUUUUGCGCUUAUCUAGACUCACAAACUCUCUGACUUGAGACUGACUUCUCUUUGGUCUACCCUUGUAGGAUUUGGUCUCCUUUUGGUAUUCCAAUGUCUUCCAACUUCUACUGCCUAUUUUGGACUCCUGGUCUCCUCUAACUUCAGCUCUUUGGGCUGCCUGCCAGGCACAUUUCUGUUCUUUCUCAGAGGCUUGAGUGUCCUCCUUCCAAGAAUUCUUUGCCCUAACCUGUAAACCAUUGCCUCCCAGCCCCUGGCACCAAAGCCACCAUUAGACCCUGAUUAGGAGACCUCUCAGAUUCUUUAUGAGAUGACCCUGAGAGGCAAUUAUCCUCCACACUGCACACUUUCCAGAGUACUUUGGCCUUUAUAAUAAGAAGUAGCAGAUUUACAGAUGAAGGAUCUUCAAUCCCAAAACCUGCUCUCUCUGUCUGCAACGAACAUACUCCAUCACUUGCUUUUCCCUACCUCUGAUCUCACUCCCAGAGCACUGCAACGAAAGUCCAGAAAAGUGAGGGUCUUUGAACCCAUUAGUAGCUCCCCAAGCCCCAUAUCCACUUGUAGUUUGAUGAAAAUGAGAAGCAUGGAUCUGAUCAGUUGGGCCUUUAUAGAUGCAUGUCAGAUCCACAUGAAUAAUAUGAUCUUCGAGCAACCCAGAAAGGAGAGAGUUUCUGUUUCUCAAGUCCCUUGCCUCAGAGUCAAUACAGUGAUACCAUCCAAGAAAGGAUCUGUAGCCUAGGAUAUAUAACAGAUUCACUUAUUAUGCUGUCAGGACGCCUGAGGCAAAUCCAUCCAAAUGUGAGUGCUGACUUCUUAGGAACUGGACAAGUGAGCUCAGGUACUGUAAAGGAGCACCUAUGACUUGUUUACCAGGUCUAAGUUGCACAAUCACAAGAGCCCAAGAAUAUCAAAUAAUCCACAUCAAAUUUUCAAACAGCCAGACAUGAUAUGUUCUCAAUUCCCAGGCCACGUUUAUUAUUAAAUGAUGUUCUAGCCCUUUGACAAUACCUGCUAUUAGAACCAGGGCUUGGGUGGUGGUGGAACAGGCCACAGUGGCAUAGACAAGACCUGGGAAUUCAGGAAGUUUUCCUUGGUCAGGAGAAGUCUGCGGCUGGGACAAGUAUGAUGUAGUUUGGAUGUUUGUCCCCUCGAAAUCUCAUUUUGAAAUGUAAUUCCCAAUGUUGGAGGUGGGGCCUGAUGGGAGGUGAUUGAAUCAUGGAGGCAGCUCCCUCAUCAAUAGCUUAGCACCAUCCACUUGGUGAUAAGUGAGUUCUUGCUCAGUGAGUUUGCAUGAGAUCUGAUUGUUUAAAAGAGUCUGAGACC
rnacentral:lncRNA from 1 species